GAUGAACGCUGACAGAAUGCUUAACACAUGCAAGUCAACUUGAAUUUGGGUUUUUAACUUAGGUUUGGGUGGCGGACGGGUGAGUAACGCGUAAAGAACUUGCCUCACAGUUAGGGACAACAUUUGGAAACGAAUGCUAAUACCUAAUAUUAUGAUAACAGGGCAUCCUAUAAUUAUGAAAGCUAUAAGCGCUGUGAGAGAGCUUUGCGUCCCAUUAGCUAGUUGGAGAGGUAACGGCUCACCAAGGCGAUGAUGGGUAGCCGGCCUGAGAGGGUGAUCGGCCACAAGGGGACUGAGACACGGCCCUUACUCCUACGGGAGGCAGCAGUGGGGAAUAUUGGACAAUGGACCAAGAGUCUGAUCCAGCAAUUCUGUGUGCACGAUGAAGUUUUUCGGAAUGUAAAGUGCUUUCAGUUGGGAAGAAAGAAAUGACGGUACCAACAGAAGAAGUGACGGCUAAAUACGUGCCAGCAGCCGCGGUAAUACGUAUGUCACGAGCGUUAUCCGGAUUUAUUGGGCGUAAAGCGCGUCUAGGUGGUUAUGUAAGUCUGAUGUGAAAAUGCAGGGCUCAACUCUGUAUUGCGUUGGAAACUGUAUAACUAGAGUACUGGAGAGGUAAGCGGAACUACAAGUGUAGAGGUGAAAUUCGUAGAUAUUUGUAGGAAUGCCGAUGGGGAAGCCAGCUUACUGGACAGAUACUGACGCUGAAGCGCGAAAGCGUGGGUAGCAAACAGG
rnacentral:rRNA from 1 species